rnacentral:rRNA from 1 species
CUACGGGGUGCUGCAGUGGGGAAUAUUGCACAAUGGGCGAAAGCCUGAUGCAGCAACGCCGCGUGAGGGACGACGGCCUUCGGGUUGUAAACCUCUUUUAGCAGGGAAGAAGCGAAAGUGACGGUACCUGCAGAAAAAGCACCGGCUAACUACGUGCCAGCAGCCGCGGUAAUACGUAGGGUGCAAGCGUUGUCCGGAAUUAUUGGGCGUAAAGAGCUCGUAGGCGGUUUGUCGCGUCUGCUGUGAAAAUCCGAGGCUCAACCUCGGACCUGCAGUGGGUACGGGCAAACUAGAGUGCGGUAGGGGAGAGUGGAAUUCCUGGUGUAGCGGUGGAAUGCGCAGAUAUCAGGAGGAACACCAAUGGCGAAGGCAGAUCUCUGGGCCGUAACUGACGCUGAGGAGCGAAAGCGUGGGGAGCGAACAGGAUUAGAUACCCGCGUAGUC